CCCACGGCAGAAAAAAUAGUGAACUCGAAAAUUGAUGAUCCACCGUGAAAGAUUUACCAAUUUACUCUACUUCAAUCGUAUUGAUUAAAAUACCAAAUCGGUGAUAUUCCGAUUACAACUGCUACAUGUUACAUAUAUAUACAUAUAACACAAGUAUUAUAAUCGCAAGAAAUUCAUCUGGCCUCAAAAAAGCAAGUAAUUAAGAAACAAAUUAACAUAAAUGAAAAUAAAAUGCAACAAUACGCUACUGACAAAUCUCGAUUUUCCUCAAUGUCGGUUAAACAAACCGAAGAAAUCGUUAGGGUGAAUAGGAAACCACGAAUGGGGGAAAAACAAAACAAAUCGAUAUGUUUUACCUGAUGUUUCGUUUCUCUCUUGUUAUAAUUCAAAAUAAAAAUAUCGCCAGCCAUACAAUUUUCAAUAUGGAUGAGUCACAUCGUUGCGUGCAAUGCAUGUAUACAGUAAAAAUAUGCGCGACUAGAGUCGCGAUCUUCACGAACACGUCUUUCAGUAUGGUAACUUUUGUGGGACAUUUAAACAAUCAAGCGUUGACACAGCUGGUGUCACGUGAUCAACGGCUGGCCAUUUUACCAGAGAAAAUACCGAUAUGGAAACGUAUAUAAAUGAUCGUGCCUGGUGCAGCAUUCGUGUGUAAUGUCCGUCUAGUUCGGGGCACUAAGCAACAUGUUCAAGUUUGCGGUGUUCUUCUUAGUCGCGUUGACGACGUUCGUAUUGGCGGAUGCACAAUGCAGCGAACCGUGCGCCAAGUAUGGCGCCGAAUGCAAAACUUGCGGUACGUGCAACGCUACCUGCCUCAACCCAAACCCUAUUUGUUCCCAGGUAUGCAGAGUAGGUUGUUUCUGCCCUACCGGUACGGUUUAUAAUUCUAAUGGCUACUGCGUUAAUCCUUCGGCAUGUUGACUUGCGAAAUAGUCGACGGAAAUUGUUGUACAGAGAAUAUAAUCGAGAAAUUUUUACGUCCAAAAUAUGUACCGCGUUAAAAUUAUGACAAAUUGUAUCGAUGAAUAAAAAAGAACCAACGAUCAAUCUAGUCAUUCAAUAUCAAAUUUAAAUGAAGAAACAUUUGCGGCUCCCGCUACUUUCGAUUUUUCUUUGAAAGUUGCUUGUUCGACGCUAUAAUGUUUCCAGAAAUAAUAUUUCAACGAUGGUCAUUUUAUGGGGGGCUUAACAGAGGCAUAUAAGUACUGCACUGGAAAAGGAAACUACAGAGACAAUAACAGACCGUCAAAGUCAAGAUGAUUACGUUGGCGUUGAUAGAAUCUGCACUUUUUACAGGUUUUUAUAGUCACCUUCCUUGUCAGAUGAAAUACAAAAUCAAGUAAGUGCGAUUCCGGAUACUACCAAGUCAGCCAAAGCUUCAACGAUACUUUCGACCCGAGAAGUGAGGGUUCUCCACAACACUGAGGAACCAGAAUUCAAUGUGCCCGAUGUACCCUUGUACCUAAAAUAUAUAACGUAUCAUACUUUGUAGGAAAAUAUUAUUACCGCCAACGCAUUGUUGACGGUAGAUCGUGGUAGACGAUCAUAUAAACAGUCUUUCAAUUGUCCGAAACUACCUCGAUAGGUGUACAAGUCCAGUAAAGACAAACGCGGCAUGACAAAAAUAUGUUCGUUUGUCGGUAAAGCCUGUUGAUUCAGAGUGUCAAGUGUUCUCUUUUCAUCCAAAAAUGUAUGUAAACUUCACAGAAGUCGAAAAGUUGUCAAAACCGAAGCGAAUCGAAGUCGAGAUGAUGGCAUCAACGUUCCUUAUUCCUUUCAUCGCGGGGAUCUUUCUGAUAGCCACCGUUGUAAAACCUGCGGAUGCCAAAGCAUGUGCGUCAUUAUGUGGACCUCAUUCGACGCCAUCAAACUGCUCACCGUGCAAUGAGAGUUGCGAUGAAAUUAAGAUGGCUUGUCCGUUGUUAUGCUCCGCAAAGCCCAUUUACUGUAGCUGUGAUUCUGGAUUCUGCCGAAACAGCAAAGGUGAUUGCGUGAAGAAGCCGGCAAAGUGCGAUUGAGCACGAUAAUCGACCAUGCAUGCAGUAGACUUCCAUGAUGUAAAAUGAAUUACGAAUUCAGCGGAAGCGAUGUCUAUGUUCAAAUCUACAAGAAUUUUUUUGCAUGCAACUAUUCGGUUUAUAUAAGCCGCUGAUUGCGUUUAUUAAAAUUAUGUUAUGCUGACCGAUGUGUUUUGUACUGUUAUAUGGAUGUUGAUGCGAUAAUCUGACCUUGUGUGAUGAGAUAAAAGUGCAAUUUGCGAAAAUAUAGGGUGUUCUUAUCACUACCGCAUCACUCGGAAUAAUACGUUGAAAACCUAUUUAACCAGAGUGAAUAACACUUCUUAUGGUUACGUUCAAUCGACUACUGUCCACGUUGACGAGAAUGUAAAGGUUGACCAUUAAAAUAGGUGCCUAUAGGUCAGCCAAUAAGUGAUAUUGUGUUUUUAGAAAUAACACGAUAUGAACAAGAAUCCUCGAAUAAAAGUGACACUGGGCAACGCUUUCCUGAAGUUACUAAAUAAGAGACUGUCGACACCAACGGAGCUGUCUAUAAACGGCGUUAGCUCAGGAACUGCUCAUUUCACGCAUCGAUAUCAGGAUGAAACCAGUGUCAGCAUUCUUGGUCCUAAUUGCGGGUGUUCUGACAAUUUUUGUCCUUGGGGCCCAGAGUCAAUCUGAGUGCGGGUCCGGAAUGUACGCCAGGAACUGUACACCUUGUAAUGUAGUAUGUGGUGGAUUUGGCGGAGAUUGCAGAGGCUCCUGCGGCAGCCAGGAUAUAUACUGCCAGUGUGACUCUGGGUAUGUUCUUCCCUACGAAAACGCAAGCUGCUGCGUACCGAGAGAUAAUUGCUCUACUGCGACAUGCUGAAGAUAUUGAUGGUGUUUCGGAACUUAAUUAGCAUGUAAAAACUACUUAGGAUUAACUACGUUAUUCUGAUAACUGGGAUAUAGCUUUUGAGAACCAUAAACAUGCACUAGAAAAAUAUAACAAUUUGAACUGCUUUGAAGUCCUUUGAUAUAAGUCUCAUGCCUCAGCGGCGAAUCAAUGGGUCAAUCUCUCUAAAUAUUGGAGUGUUGGUAAACAUGCUGCUUGUAACAUGAUUUAAUCCAUGGCAACAUCUGUAACUCAUGGCACAGUUGCAGAAAAUUGAUGACCAACAAUCGAAUCCACAAAUUUUUACCCCUGAAUUUUAUAACGAACAUUUAUGAAUCCCCACUCUCACGAAAGUGUCCCUGAAAGUUGCGCGUUCGACGUUAUCGUGUUAGCAAAAUAAUAAUAUGUUGACAUUCUACGACCAGCGUUUGAAAGAAGCAUAUAAGUAGUGCGCUAGAACCGGUAAAACACAGUGACAUUAAAAUCGUCCCCAAGUCAAGAUGGCUACAUUAGCCUUGCUGGUGUCUGCAGUCACGGGUUUGUUCCUAAUACUCUUGUUGACGAAAAAUACCGAGGCUGCUGUUAGUUGCGGACCUAACUCUAGCCUUUCCAAUUGUACGACGUGCAACGAGCUUUGUAGCGGACGGGUGAGGCCUUGCGCAGAGGUUUGCUCUGACCAAUACGUCGCUUGCAAGUGCGAUGUUGGAUACUACCAAGUCAGUCAAAGUAACGUUACUUGCAUCUCGGAGAGCGAGUGUCCUUCCUAACGCUCACGAAGUAUGUAUCGUGUGUUCCUGAUACAUGGAUUUACAGCUGAAAUAAUGUAUUGUACUUUUUAAUAAAAUCGCUUUCGCUGUAUUGUUAUACCACGAUAUUCGUCAUUCAUGAGAGAGGAGAACGAUGGAAGGUGUUGUAUCCCGAAUUUUUAUCUUCCAAUUUAUUUUAUUACGGUUAUUUAUUUAUUUGGUUCGUUGCGAGAAGUCUUGUUAAUUUAUCGUAAGAUAAAUUGGUGAUUUGUUUAAGAUGUUUCCUUUUUAGUUCUGUCGAUUUCUGAAAUCUCCAGCUGGUUAAAUCCUGGUCUUUAGUUCUCUGGAAGACGUAACCUUUUAGAUGAACUAAAGUUGCCAGAAUUUCUCUGAUGAACUUUGACGACAGAGGUGAAACGACUUAAAUUGAAUAAUGAAUUCAAAUAAACUUUUCCAGUUGACUUGAUGAUACCAACUAUAUGAAAUUCGUAAAUAACUUUAUUUAUUAUUCACAAAACGUCGCAAUUUCUACAACAUCUUUUACCGAAUGCCUUCUCUCCUCCCUUUUCACAACGAUCCCGUGAAAAGAGCGUUGUUUAUUAAACUCGAACUUAUUUUCUACCAAUGAAACAUUUAAAAAUAGCUCCAAGUUAACUUGGAACUAAUUUACGAACUAUAAAUCAAUGAACAAGCCCUUCCUACACAAACGUCGAGUUGGCCAAAGUUAUUAAAAUUAUCUCAUACUCGUCAGUAUAUUUCUGAAUAAUAUUCUUGUAAAGCGAUUGUCUGAUCUCGUAUGAAAAAGUAAAAAUGUAACUUGCUGAACAAUUCCACGUUUUGAUAAACACACAGGCCGAUAAUUUUUUAUUCAAGCAAAUAUACUUUGUCAAAUUUUACGUGCUUUGAAAAGAAACGAAAGAUGAGUGAAAACCCGGGAAUAUCAGUGACAGUCUUGUUUGCAGUUAGUAAGAGAACGAAACAAUGUAAACAUAGAUUCAGCUUAUUUUCAUGCGGUUUGCAAGGACGCGAAAAUAUUUGUAUCUAUCUUGUAAUUGCAUUUACUCAUCAAUGAUGCAUCGAAUAAUCAUCUGUUUGAAUAAAAGUAUUUAAUCAGACAUGUUUAUGCGAUUCCUAAUUGGUAUUUCAGAAUAACACAGAAAUAUUUUGAGAAUAAACAUCGAACGAUAACAAAUAUGCUUCAGUCACCGAGUUGCAUUUGCAACUGUACACCUUGCAAGCGAAAAAAAUAACCGUAGUAUUAUCUUAAAGUUAUGUCACAAUCUUUGCAUAUCGGUGAAGUAAAAAGCCAGAAGCACACGUCGGCACAAUAAACAUGUUUUGUUGGUUUGGCGCCGAUACUGUCUUGACUAUUUCCAUAUAUUUGUAAAGGAGCAGCCGCCGUCAACGAAGCCAUAUUAAUCCGCGUCAGCCGAGAAAGCGCUUACUUUCCACAUCGAUACCAAGAUGAAAGCAUCGUCGACAGUCUCGGUCUUAGUUGCACAGGUUCUGCUGAUUAUCGCGAUAGGUGCCCAGGAUGAAGGUCAUUGCGGGCCCGGAAUGAAUCCUGUGAACUGUACAUCGUGCGAACCACCUUGCGGUAUAAUGCCAGGAGCUUGCGAGGCGGAAUGCUCAAACGAGACUAUAUACUGCAGGUGUGACUUUGGGCUCAUUGCUCCGUACCAAAACGCGCCAUGCUGCGUCGCGAAUUGCUCGAUUACGACCUGCUGAAGAUAUCGACGAGGAUUCGAGUCUCGAGGACGACGUGAAAUCAGCGAGUGGAAUUAUUUCUACUGUACCUAAUAUCUAGUUUUUGUUAUUAAUAAAUUUGGAAGAAAAAAAAAGUGACUCCCAUCUAGCAGCAGCCUGUAGAAUUGAACCACUUUGAAGUCCUUUAAUAUCGCGAAUGGAGGCGUGUAGUUUAAUACAAGCCUAACCGGCGAAUUAAUCGCAUGACUGAAUAUCUUUAUUAAUUAAGGAUGCGGUUAAUAACUUGGCUGGAUCGCACUCGUCCCCCACCCCCCCAUCCAUCCGCAAGGCUCUAACUUUGAAAACUGGGGCUCGUCAUAUUAAAGCAAUUUGUCGUUAACAGAAUUUAACGCCACUCGACGUUCGCGCAGGCAGGUGUAUUCGUGUAAUGCCCACACCAUCCAUAUCUCGUUAUUAUUAUAUGCGCCAAGCAGGCAUCCUCGAUGAAGAAUUUUGAUAUUCGAAUUAAGCAAAUCCGUGAAUUAUUAAAAAAAAAAAACAAUAAACCUGCUUUCUAAUCUGCAGACGGAAUCUCCCUGAGUGUAAUAAAUUCUUUGCAGCUAGAUUGUAUGUAUGAGGCGUUCCUUGCCGAACCGACCCAUCUUUCGCCAUCUUUCUCAGAAAAACCGUGUCUAAGAUUUUUGGACCACGAAUCUGAUUUUUACUGCUCCCAAAAACAUGAACACCCAAUUUUCGAUUGGUUUCAAAUUUUUCUCACUAAUUCUCUGUCACAAUACGAUUCUUUAGCCUGUAGAUUUCAAGCCGCAAGCUUGUCCACUUCCAUCUCGGUAUUAAAAACUAUCGUUUUUCAACAAAGAAUUGAUGAGAAAAAUUUAAAACCAAUCUUAAACAAAUUCAUUUUAUAAUUAUAACAAGUCAUAAUACGUAAUAUAUGUAGUUCCACUUUAAAGGCACCCUUUUUUUCAGCAAAAAUUAAUUUGCAAACGGUUGAAAAUUAAUUAAACGACAUGAUUUUAUAUUUUGUGACGCAUAUAGUAUUUUCGCUGUUAAUCUCUAAAAAAAAAAUGAAUUUUCACAUAUUUUAAACUUGAACUCUGAAUAACUUUUGAAAUAGUUGAGUUAUCAAAAAAUCAUAACAGACCUUUUUUGCAGAGCAUUGAAUUUCCCACAUAAAUAUGUAUCAGACAUUUGUGUACACUGUUCCACUACUGAGUUAUAAAAUUCAGAAAUAACCAAAAUGAUUUUCACCUGUUAAUUAAACGGCGAGUUGAAUGUCGCGUUCAGGAACCACUAAAUAUUGAUAUUAAGGACUCAAAUUAUAGCAGGCGUCUCAUUUCUCAUUCCUAUACAAAUAUUAAACGUGA